GGAGAGGUGGCAGAGUGGCCGAUCGCGCUUCCUUGCUAAGGAAGUGUACCCGAAAGGGUACCGAGGGUUCGAAUCCCUCCCUCUCCGCCA
rnacentral:tRNA from 1 species